UGGGUUGCCCGGGAUUCGAACCCGGAACUAGUC
rnacentral:tRNA from 1 species